CCACAGUCAAAACAAAUUAUUUUUAAUCUCCAACCAUUAAACCCAUACCCAUAUAUAGGUUUCCUUCUACCCAAUCGACCUAAAAUGAGUCAACCUUCAAGGAGGAAACUCAUAUCUCUUAGCACAGGACGCAUGUCUUGCAAGUGCACAUGAAGGCCGUAGGAGGAAACAUUGAUUUAACACGCCAACCUCUGGGUUUCAUUCAUACGCGCGGAAAACGACAAAAUAAUGGGCUGGAAAAUGGGGAUGCGUUGUACAUGUGUUAGUUGCGUCAGAUAAGUUGGUCCAGAUCAGAAUAACGGAUGGUUGAGAUUUGGUUUUGUUUGAAAAAAAAGGUCUAGAUUUAAUUCAUUUCCAAAUAGAAGAAAUUUAUAUAUAAUUAGUGGGGCUUCUCUAAAAGGUUAGAUAGUGUUUGGAUCACCAUUUUGGGUUUACGUAUAUGAAUGGUGGAGACUGUGAUUUGCAGCAUAUAUAUACUAGGUGUUAGUGAUGCACAACAGAAAUAUAACUUUGGGGCUUUAUUUUUGAAGACCUUUCUCUCAAGGUUAGAGGUAUAAAUUAUACCGUAUACCGUAUACCGUAUAAUGGUUGCUGGGUUCUAUGUUCUUUGAUUAAAGUUUAAGGUCUGGGAAUAUGCUUUUCGAGUUAUCGUCAUAUGUAUGCUGAACUUGUAAAUUGUGAUGUUAUGGAAGCAACUUUCAGUAAAUGUGCUAACGUCCGCAUACAUUGAUCUUAAGUUAGGGUCAAAACGUGGGACACCGUUUUAAAGUUUUAAAAACGUGAGAUACGAAAUUUUGUUUCUCUAAAAGGUCAGACACUGUUUAGAUUUUUUUUUUUUUUUAAGUAGAUCAACUUCUUUAUUUUUAUUUUUUAGAAGAAAGAGAUCAACUAGUUUUUCUUAAAUAUAUAAAUUAAUACUUGAAAAUUCUGAGUGGUCGUUAGAUUAGCAGGUUGAGUGUUACCGUUGAAGUGAUGAUCUUUGUUUAGAUAGUUACAUACUAAUUACAAGAUUAUUAUAACUCGUCCUCGACCCAAACUUGAAAAGCAAAAAAUAAAAGAACAUAUUUUAUAGAUUUAUGCUAAGCGUUGCUUGAUUACAUUAUGAAUAUGGCUAUAUGGCUAAGAUAACCGCUUCACAUUUCAAACGGCCAUGUGGAAAUGGUUGAUUUGUGGAAGAUUGUAGCAAGGUAUAAGAGAGAAUAAAAAAUGGCGCAUGUAAGCAACAUUAUGUAACAGUCAUGGCGGUAAUACCUUCAAGUAUAGACUUUUGGUGAAGGCACCUUCACAAAUCUAGCUAAGCACCUUCCCUGAUCAUCUCCUCUAUCUCCAUCCCAUUCAACACUCACAAAAAUCAAGAAAAAAAAAAAAAAAAAGAAGACAAAGAAGAUAAGAAGUAUAAAAAUCUGUAAGGGAAGAAGAAUAUGGAUGAAUUUAGAAGGCGAUAUGAUAGAAAAUUUGGAGCCUUACGCAUAAAAGACAACGAGAAGAAAAACUCUUACGUUUCCAUUUCAAAUAAGCAAAAUCAUACAAGUGAGUUCAUUUCCAUAUGAACGAAUAAGUUGUUCCAUAAAACUGUAACAUGAUGCUUAAAUCUAACUGUUUAGUUUAUGACAUUAUUUUUUAAAUACAUGAACUGAGUUGAAAACUAUUAGUAUACAUGGGUCUAGCAACGGACUAAUUUGAUAUUUUGUGUCAUAUAUAUACUUACGUUUAAAGACGUGAUUGAUUUUAGAUCUACAAUAUGAUACGUGUCGAGAGUUCUCGUCUUUUAUAAUGUUGUCAUAUUCACUCUAUGGAUUACAUUCUAUAUAACAACGCCGACUCUAGUACUUGCUCCAAACGUUUGUUACACAUCAAGAGCCAUUAAAGCUAAAACAAAUGUCUGAUUAAAUAGUCAUCAACUCAUAAGAUCAAAAUGAAGAAAUGUUUAUCCAUCCUUAUUUUAAAAUUGGGCGAGAGUUUGGAACUUUGAUUGUCAAUUGUCAUUACAGGAGGAAUAUCACCAUGUCCCAUCUAAUGAGUCACGACCUAUGUGGCUAUGUAGCCACUCAACCACUUGACCAUACAUAGAGAAUCUUGCCUGCCCGUGGUUCUUUAUUGGCCACCACAAAUAAACCCUCUCAAUAUUUUCCGGUGGCUGAUGUGAGCUCCCGGCCCAACCCACCUGGGCUGGACCUAUUCAUUUCAUGCCUUGUCACUGCACGUGUCAGCUUGGCAGGUGGCCUUUACCUUACUCGUGUCUGCCUCUGCGUAAACACGCUUCCCACUCGAUAAGAUAGGCCGGGUAUAUAUUAUCCGGGGAGUUAACCAAUAACGGCAGCACCACCUGUCCUCUUGGCGGCAUUUGGCAACAGUCCCUAUUUCAUUUUUUUUUUGUUGGACUCGUCUUCCUUCUCCAAAUGGUCUUAUAAAUCCUAAUUUUUGUUCUUGAGCUCGUUGGAUAGGAAAUAAAUUAUUAUAAGACAGACUAGAAAAAAGUUAUUUGUGGUUAUAAUUGAAAAUAAUGAGACCAAAUAGGAUGAUUUUCUACAAUGCAAUUGUUUCACAUAUAUGACAUUGGGUGGUGUACAUCAAUCUCAAACCGAAUGGCCAUCCUUUAUCAUACUCAGAAAAAUCAAUUAUUUGACAUUCUAUCAACAGAAGGAACUCGAUUAUUGACGAAAUAAUUGAGUUCUGUUAUACUUAUUUUGUGUGAAGAAGUACAAUUCAAGAAAAUGAAGAUUGCUUCUUCAUUCCAACUAUGUGUGAUGUACAUGGAAUGUAGUUUUGCCGAUAAACAAUAUACGUGGAAUGUAGUUACGAUAAGGUGUUCAUGAAUUAGACGGUAUUGUCAUAAAUCCGUUAUUUUGAGUAUGCUGAAUGAAAAGCGAUGAAUUGUUUUUUUCAUUGUUUGUUCAAAAGUAAAUAUGACAUUUAGAUCUUACGCAAUUUUAUU
rnacentral:lncRNA from 1 species